rnacentral:rRNA from 1 species
GACGAACGCUGGCGGCGUGCCUAAUACAUGCAAGUAGAACGCUGAAGGAGGAGCUUGCUUCUCUGGAUGAGUUGCGAACGGGUGAGUAACGCGUAGGUAACCUGCCUGGUAGCGGGGGAUAACUAUUGGAAACGAUAGCUAAUACCGCAUAAGAGUAGAUGUCGCAUGACAUUUGCUUAAAAGGUGCAAUUGCAGCACUACCAGAUGGACCUGCGUUGUAUUAGCUAGUUGGUGAGGUAACGGCUCACCAAGGCAACGAGACAGAGCCGAACUGAGAGGGGGGUCGGCCCGCCUGGGACGGUGACACGGCCCAGAGUCCCUCGGGAGGCAGCCGGAGUGCAUCGUCGGCCAUGGGCGGAAGACUGUGCGCGCUACGCCGCGUGAGUGUAGAAGGUUUUCGGAUCGUAAAGCUCUGUUGUCAGGGAAGAACGAGUGUGAGAGUGGAAAGUUCACACUGUGACGGUAACGUAUCAGAAAGGGCCGGCUAACUACGUG